rfam:Variovorax sp. HW608 genome assembly, chromosome: I
GGGGGAUUAGCUCAGCUGGGAGAGCACCUGCUUUGCAAGCAGGGGGUCGUCGGUUCGAUUCCGUCAUCCUCCA